rnacentral:lncRNA from 1 species
UUUUUUUUUUCCCGCAGUUUUUCCAGCUGGAAUUCCAUAAGGCAGGAAUUUUUGGGUUUGGCAUCCAGGAGGAAAACCAGAGAGGGUUUGUUGGCUCGGCUGGUUUUUUAAAUCUCUCCUUGGACAGCCCUCGGGAGUUCUCCGGCGGUGUUUGGAAGCCCUGGAAUUUUGGAGGCCGUCAGCACAUUCCUGGUUUUUUUUUUUAGGGAGUAACACACAGGCCUGAGCUCCCAAUCCAGGUUUUCCCUGGUCAUGGAUGUUUGUUCUCCCUCUGGACCUGCUGUGACCGAGCCGUGACCCGGCAGCACCUCCCCUGGCAGUGAAUUCCAAAGGCUUUGCUCCCGGUUUCCCACACCCAGCGCGGCUUCCCAGAGCAGGAGUCGCUGAACGUCGUCAUCCAGCAUCCUCAUCCUCACCGGCUCCAUGCUCAUCCAUCUCCAUCCUCAUCCUCACUGUGUCCAUCCUCAUCCAUCUCCAUCCUCAUCCAUCUCCGUCCUCAUCCACCAUAUCCAUCCUCAUCCAUCUCCAUCCUCAUCCAUCAUCCUCAUCCUCACUCCAUCCUCAUCCACCAUCUCCAUCCUCAUCCACCAUUCCCAUCCUCAUCCACCAUCUCCAUGCUCAUCCACCAUUCCCAUGCUCAUCCACCAUUCCCAUCCUCAUCCACCAUCUCCAUUCUCAUCCAUCUUGUCCAUCCUCAUCCACCUUGUCCAUCUUCAUCCACCAUUUCCAUCCUCAUCCACCAUCUCCAUCCUCACCCACCAUCUCCAUCCUCAUCCACCAUCUCCAUCCUCACCCACCAUCUCCAUCCUCAUCCACCAUUUCCAUCCUCAUCCAUCUCCAUCCUCAUCCAUCUCCAUCCUCAUCCAUCUCCAUCCUCAUCCACCAUCUCCAUCCUCAUCCCUCUACAAUCCCAAACAGGAUCCCAGGAUGGUUUGGAUGAGAAGGGAUCUUAAAGUUCAUCCCAUUCCAGCCCCGACACCUCCCACUAUCCCAGGGAAUCCAACCUGGCCUUGGACACUGUCAGGGAUCCAGGGGCAGCCACAGCUUCUCUGGGAAUUCCAGCCCAGCCCCUCCCCACCCU